GCCUGGGUGGCUCAGUUGGUUAAGUGUCUGACUUCGGCUCAGGUCAUGAUCUCACGGUUUGUGGGUUCGAGUCCUGCAUCGGGCU
rnacentral:tRNA from 1 species